rnacentral:rRNA from 1 species
ACUCCCAGCACGGGGAGGUAGUGACAAAAAAUAACGAUACGGGACUCAUCCGAGGCCCCGUAAUCGGAAUGAGUACACUUUAAAUUCUUUAAUGAGGAUCUAUUAGAGGACCAGUCUGGUGCCAGCACCCGCGGUAAUUCCAGCUCUAAUAGCGUAUAUUAAAGUUGUUGCGGUUAAAAAGCUCGUAGUUGGUUCUGUGUGCCAUGCUGUUGGUUCACCGCCUGUCGGUGCAACUGACAUGUCAUGGGACGUCCUGUCGGUGGUAAUUAAAGCCUUAUAAUUAGUUAGGUUCGCCUAUUCUAUUUUAUAGGUAACUUUAAUUACCGAUGAAAUCCUGCCGCGGUCCUCUUUAUUGAGUGUCGAGGUGGGCCGACAUGUUUACUUUGAACAAAUUAGAGUGCUUAAAGCAGGCAAAAAUCUGCCUAAAUAGUGGUGCAUGGAAUAAUAAAAUAAGAUCUUGGUUCUAUUUUGUUGGUUUUCGGAAUCCAAGGUAAUGAUCAAUAUGGACAGGCGGGGGCAUUCGUAUUUCGACGUUAGAGGUGAAAUUCUUGGAUCGUCGAAGGACGAACUAAAGCGAAAGCAUUUGCCAAGUAUGUCCAAAUUGAUCAAGAACGAAAGUUAGAGGUCCGAAGGCGAUCAGAUACCGCCCUAGUUCUAACCAUAAACGAUGUCAGCCAGAGAUCCGUAGAUGUUUUUUUCAUGACUCGACGGGCAGCUUCCGGGAAACCAAAGCUUUUGGGUUCCGGGGGAAGUAUGGUUGCAAAGCUGAAACUUAAAGGAAUUGACGGAAGGGCACCACAAGAUGUGGAGCCUGCGGCUUAAUUUGACUCAACACGGGAAACCUCACCAGGCCCAGACAUUGGAAGGAUUGACAGAUCGAUAGCUCUUUCUUGAUUCAGUGGGUAGUGGUGCGUUGGUGGAACGAUUUGUCUGGUUAAUUUCGAUAACGAACGAGACUCUAGCUUACUAACUAGGCGUCUGAUAUUUUUGCUAUCAGCGUCUUUUUUCUUCUUAGAAGGACAGGCGGCAUUAAGCCGCACGAGAUUGAGCAAUAACAGGUCAGUGAUGCCCUUAGAUGUUCUGGGCCGCACGCGCGCUACACUGAAGGAAUCAGCGUGUGUUUCCCUGUCUGAAAGGACCGGGUAACCCGCUGAACCUCCUUCGUGCUAGGAAUUGGGGCUUGCAAUUAUUCCCCAUAAACGAGGAAUAUCUAGUAAGCGUGAGUCAUAAGCUCGCGUUGAUUACGUCCCUGCCCUUUGUACACACCGCCCGUCGCUGUUACCGAUUGAAUGAUUUAGUGAGGUCUUCAGACUGGCAAGUAACUAUUGCCUUUAUGGCAGUACGAUUUUUGCUGGAAAGAUGACCAAACUUGAUUAUUUAGAGGAAACAAAAGUCGUAACAAGG